GAAGAUUAAAUGGCGGAGAAAGAGAAGUAUGUAUGCCAACCUCUCGUCCAAGAUGUGAGGUGGCAUACAUACUUCUCUUUCUCCGCCAUUUUAUCCUCAC
rnacentral:miRNA from 1 species